rnacentral:rRNA from 1 species
UACGGAGGGAGCUAGCGUUGUUCGGAAUUACUGGGCGUAAAGCGCACGUAGGCGGCUUUGUAAGUUAGAGGUGAAAGCCCGGAGCUCAACUCCGGAAUUGCCUUUAAGACUGCAUCGCUUGAAUCCGGGAGAGGUGAGUGGAAUUCCGGAGUGUAGAGGUGAAAUUCGUAGAUAUUCGGAAGAACACCAGUGGCGAAGGCGGCUCACUGGACCGGUAUUGACGCUGAGGGUGCGAAAGCGUGGGGGAGCAAACAGG